rnacentral:rRNA from 1 species
AUUGAACGCUGGCGGCAUGCCUUACACAUGCAAGUCGAACGGCAGCAUGGAGAGCUUGCUCUCUGAUGGCGAGUGGCGAACGGGUGAGUAAUGCAUCGGAACGUACCGUGUAAUGGGGGAUAACGGAGCGAAAGUUACGCUAAUACCGCAUACGACCUGAGGGUGAAAGCAGGGGAUCGCAAGACCUUGCGUUAUACGAGCGGCCGAUGGCAGAUUAGCUAGUUGGUGAGGUAAAGGCUCACAAAGGCGACGAUCUGUAGCGGGUCUGAGAGGAUGAUCAGCCACACUGGGACUGAGACACGGCCCAGACUCCUACGGGAGGCAGCAGUGGGGAAUUUUGGACAAUGGGGGCAACCCUGAUCCAGCCAUGCCGCGUGAGUGAAGAAGGCCUUCGGGUUGUAAAGCUCUUUCGGCCGGGAAGAAAUCGCACAGGCUAAUACUCUGUGUGGAUGACGGUACCGGCAUAAGAAGCACCGGCUAACUACGUGCCAGCCGCCGCCGUAA